rnacentral:rRNA from 1 species
GAGUUUGAUCCUGGCUCAGAACGUACGCUGGCGGCACGCUAACACAUGCAAGUCGAACGCAGUAGCAAUACUGAGUGGCAAACGGGUGAGUAUAAUGUGGGAAUCUGCCUUUUGGUUUGGAAUAACACGAGGAAACUUGUGCUAAUACCGGAUAAGCCCUUAGGGGGAAAGUUUUAACGCCGAAAGAUGAGCCCGCACUUGAUUAGCUAGUUGGUAAGGUAAAAGCUUACCAAGGCAACGAUCAAUAGCUGUUCUUAGAGGAAGACCAGCCACAUUGGGACUGAGACACGGCCCAAACUCCUACGGGAGGCAGCAGUGGGGAAUCUUGCACAAUGGGGGAAACCCUGAUGCAGCGAUGCCGCGUGAGUGAAGAAGGCCCUUGGGUUGUAAAACUCUUUCGUCGGGGAAGAAAAUGACUGUACCCGAAUAAGAAGGUCCGGCUAACUUCGUGCCAGCAGCCGCGGUAAUACGAAGGGACCUAGCGUAGUUCGGAAUUACUGGGCUUAAAGAGCUCGUAGGUGGUUAAAAAAGUUGAUGGUGAAAUCCCAAGGCUUAACCUUGGAACUGCCAUCAAAACUUUUUAGCUAGAGUAUGAUAGAGGAAAGUGGAAUUUCUAGUGUAGAGGUGAAAUUCGUAGAUAUUAGAAAGAACACCAAAUGCGAAGGCAACUUUCUGGAUCAUUACUGACACUGAGGAGCGAAACAUGGGGUAGCGAAGAGGAUUAGAUACCCUCGUAGUCCAUGCCGUAAACGAUGUGUGCUAGACGUUGGAAACAUAGUUUUCAGUGUCGCAGAGAAAUCAUUAAGCACACCGCCUGGGGAGUACGACCGCAAGUUAAAAACUCAAAUGAAUUGACGGGGACCCGCACAAGUAGUGGAGCAUGUGGUUUAAUUCGA